rnacentral:tRNA from 1 species
GACCCUGUGGCGCAGCCUGGUAGCGCGCACGACUGAUAGAGCCUUUCUUUCUUCAGAGAAGAAAGAUCCCCUCGGGAAAGAAAGAAGCUUUAGUGUGACUUUCAAAAGGUUUGAGAAAUCGUGAGGUCCUGAGUUCAAAUCUCAGCAGGGUCA